rnacentral:rRNA from 1 species
ACCGGAGUGGACGCAUCACUGGUGUUCGGGUUGUCAUGCCAAUGGCAUGCCCGGUAGCUAAAUGCGGAAGAGAUAAGUGCUGAAAGCAUCUAAGCACGAAACUUGCCCCGAGAUGAGUUCUCCCUGACCCUUUAAGGGUCCUGAAGGAACGUUGAAGACGACGACGUUGAUAGGCCGGGUGUGUAAGCGCAGCGAUGCGUUGAGCUAACCGGUACUAAUGAACCGUGAGGCUUAACCUUACAACGCCGAAG